UACGAAGGGGGCUAGCGUUGCUCGGAAUCACUGGGCGUAAAGCGCACGUAGGCGGACUCUUAAGUCGGUGGUGAAAUCCUGGAGCUCAACUCCAGAACUGCCUUCGAUACUGAGAGUCUCGAGUCCGUGAGAGGUGAGUGGAACUGCGAGUGUAGAGGUGAAAUUCGUAGAUAUUCGCAAGAACACCAGUGGCGAAGGCGGCUCACUGGCCCGGUACUGACGCUGAGGUGCGAAAGCGUGGGGAGCAAACAGG
rnacentral:rRNA from 1 species